rnacentral:rRNA from 1 species
UACAGAGGGGGCAAGCGUUGUUCGGAAUUACUGGGCGUAAAGGGCGCGUAGGCGGCCCGCUAAGUCGAACGUGAAAUCCCCGAGCUCAACUCGGGAACUGCGUCCGAUACUGGCAGGCUUGAAUCCGGGAGAGGGAUGCGGAAUUCCAGGUGUAGCGGUGAAAUGCGUAGAUAUCUGGAGGAACACCGGUGGCGAAGGCGGCAUCCUGGACCGGCAUUGACGCUGAGGCGCGAAAGCCAGGGGAGCAAAGCGGG